CAGAGUGUAAAAACUCCUAAAACCCUUUUGUGAACCUAUCUAUAAUUUGUUCCUUCGGUAGGCGGUCCCUGGGAGGGAUCUGUAGCCCUAUGUGGUGCCUGCCGAAGAACGACCCAAACUUUGUUACUAUGGUAUUAUUCUGAGUAAUUACAAAAUAAGAUAA
rnacentral:misc_RNA from 1 species